rnacentral:SRP_RNA from 1 species
ACCAAGUGUGGUGGCACGUGCCUAUUGUCCCAGCUACUUGGGAGGUUGAUGAUAGAGAAUCCCUUGAGUUCUGGAGAUCUGGGCUGUAGUGUGCUGUUCCAAUCAGGUGUCCAUACUUAGUUCAUCAUCAAUAUAGUAACCUCCUUGGAGCGGUGGACCACCAUGUUACCUAAGGAGGGGUGAACUGGCUUGGGUGAGAAAUGGAGCAGGUCAAAACUGCCGUGCUGAUCAGUAGUGGGUCAUGCCUGUGAACAGCCACUGCACUCCAGCCUGGGCAAUAUAGUGAGACCUUCCUUCU